AGAGUUUGAUCCUGGCUCAGGAUGAACGCUGGCGGCGUGCCUAAUACAUGCAAGUCGAGCGAACAGACGAGGAGCUUGCUCCUCUGACGUUAGCGGCGGACGGGUGAGUAACACGUGGAUAACCUACCUAUAAGACUGGGAUAACUUCGGGAAACCGGAGCUAAUACCGGAUAAUAUAUUGAACCGCAUGGUUCAAUAGUGAAAGACGGUUUUGCUGUCACUUAUAGAUGGAUCCGCGCCGCAUUAGCUAGUUGGUAAGGUAACGGCUUACCAAGGCAACGAUGCGUAGCCGACCUGAGAGGGUGAUCGGCCACACUGGAACUGAGACACGGUCCAGACUCCUACGGGAGGCAGCAGUAGGGAAUCUUCCGCAAUGGGCGAAAGCCUGACGGAGCAACGCCGCGUGAGUGAUGAAGGUCUUCGGAUCGUAAAACUCUGUUAUUAGGGAAGAACAAAUGUGUAAGUAACUAUGCACGUCUUGACGGUACCUAAUCAGAAAGCCACGGCUAACUACGUGCCAGCAGCCGCGGUAAUACG
rnacentral:rRNA from 1 species